rnacentral:rRNA from 1 species
UACAGAGGUCCCAAGCGUUGUUCGGAUUUACUGGGCGUAAAGGGUGCGUAGGCGGUUGUUUAAGUCUGACGUGAAAUCUCCGGGCCUAACCCGGAAACUGCGUUGGAUACUAUUCAACUAGAGGAAUGGAGGGGAGACUGGAAUACUUGGUGUAGCAGUGAAAUGCGUAGAUAUCAAGUGGAACACCAGUGGCGAAGGCGAGUCUCUGGACAUUUCCUGACGCUGAGGCACGAAAGCCAGGGGAGCAAACGGG